UACAGAGGUGGCAAGCGUUGUUCGGAAUUACUGGGCGUAAAGGGCGCGUAGGCGGCCUACUAAGUCAGACGUGAAAUCCCCCGGCUUAACCUGGGAACUGCGUCUGAUACUGGAAGGCUUGAGGAUGGGAGAGGGAUGUAGAAUUCCAGGUGUAGCGGUGAAAUGCGUAGAUAUCUGGAGGAACACCGGUGGCGAAGGCGGCAUCCUGGACCGACACUGACGCUGAGGAGCGAAAGCCAGGGGAGCAAACGGG
rnacentral:rRNA from 1 species